rnacentral:rRNA from 1 species
GACGAACGCUGGCGGCGUGCCUAAUACAUGCAAGUCGAACGCAGUGGGGAUGGGUGAUUAACACGUGGGUAACCUCCCAUCAGAGGGGAUAACACUUGGAAACAGCUGCUAAACCGAUACUGAUGGAUGGACUCGCGGUGCAUUAGCUAGUUGGUGGGGGAACGGCUCACCAAGGCGACGAUGCAUAGCGGGCCUGAGAGGAGGACCGGCCACACUGGGACUGAGACACGGCCCAGACUCCUACGGGAGGCAGCAGUGGGGAAUCUUCGGCAAUGGACGAAAGUCUGAUGGAGCAAUGCCGCGUGAGUGAAGAAGGUUUUCGGAUCGUAAAACUCUUUUAUUAGGGAAGCGGUAUCUAACCAGAAAGCAACGGCUAACUACGUGCCAGCAGCCGCGGUAAUAC